UGCCUGGCGGCCGUAGCGCGGUGGUCCCACCUGACCCCAUGCCGAACUCAGAAGUGAAACGCCGUAGCGCCGAUGGUAGUGUGGGGUCUCCCCAUGCGAGAGUAGGGAACUGCCAGGCAUC
rnacentral:rRNA from 1 species